UACGUAGGGUGCAAGCGUUGUCCGGAAUUAUUGGGCGUAAAGAGCGUGUAGGCGGCUUGAUAAGUCUGCUGUGAAAGUCCAGGGCUCAACCCUGGAAAGCCGGUGGAUACUGUUGAGCUAGAGUCCGGAAGGGGCGAGUGGAAUUCCUGGUGUAGCGGUGAAAUGCGCAGAUAUCAGGAGGAACACCAAUGGCGAAGGCAGCUCGCUGGGACGGUACUGACGCUGAGACGCGAAAGCGUGGGGAGCAAACAGG
rnacentral:rRNA from 1 species